GACGAACGCUGGCGGCGUGCUUAACACAUGCAAGUCGAACGGAAAGGCCCUGCUUUUGUGGGGUGCUCGAGUGGCGAACGGGUGAGUAACACGUGAGUAACCUGCCCUUGACUUUGGGAUAACUUCAGGAAACUGGGGCUAAUACCGGAUAGGAGCUCCUGCUGCAUGGUGGAGGUUGGAAAGUUUCGGCGGUUGGGGAUGGACUCGCGGCUUAUCAGCUUGUUGGUGGGGUAAUGGCUUACCAAGGCUUUGACGGGUAGCCGGCCUGAGAGGGUGACCGGCCACAUUGGGACUGAGAUACGGCCCAGACUCCUACGGGAGGCAGCAGUGGGGAAUAUUGCACAAUGGGCGGAAGCCUGAUGCAGCAACGCCGCGUGCGGGAUGACGGCCUUCGGGUUGUAAACCGCUUUCGCCUGUGACGAAGCGUGAGUGACGGUAAUGGGUAAAGAAGCACCGGCUAACUACGUG
rnacentral:rRNA from 1 species